ACCAACUGCCAAAAGGCUGUCGUGAAAUCUAACGUUGUGAAGAAACGGGCUUCUCCAUCUGAGGUUCAAACGUGAACAGAAAUCAAGCAGGAAAAAUCUUGGACAGGUAUGUGAUUUUUACACACAAUUUUUACACUCGCGGAUACGAUUCAACGCGAAUAACGAAAUAAAAAUAACGAGAUUAAAAGCGAGAUAAAUACACAUACACUAACCUGUCUGCACGCUGGUUCUUGUCCGACCGUUGGUUGAGAGUUGCACGUUUACACAGAACUACUCUUUUAACUACUCGGAAGAAGACCACGCAUAAGGCGCCAAUGUAAUGGUAAAUCCUACACUUACUCGUUGUUAGCCCUCAGACUACUUAUACCAUCUGGCUCUGAGGCCUACUAACGACUAAGUCUCACGGUAUCAAAUACCUAACUCCGUUUUACCAUAUACCAAAUACUCUCAUAAAUAUAACAACGCAAUAAAUGACCAAAGUGAUUUACUCUGAAUAUUUAUUCAAGCACAUGAACAAGGUUUAUAGUACAUGUUGCUACAAUGUACAAUUACUACCAUUCAUAUAACAACGAAAGAUUCUGCUUAAAGGCAUGAACGUUCUCCAAGCUAGCGUAAAAGCUCUAUCUUGCUCGUUAGAAGAA